rnacentral:rRNA from 1 species
CUCAGGAACUUUGGAGAGAUUUCUGGAUUGGUAACAAAUUGCUCCAAGAGCUUGGUAGCCCCAAUUAGAUGUGAAAAUACGAAUAUUCUGGAUAUUCUGCAAUCUUUCCCGGCCCAACGAACCACCUUCCCGAUGAAGUACCUUGGCUUACCUCUGUUAGUGAAGCGCCUGAAAAGAAUUCACUUUCUGCCUCUCAAGGACAAGAUCGCGGCCCAACUCACUACUUGGAUGGGAAAGCAGGUUGCCGCCCCUGGAAGGAUGGUUCUUGUUAAGUAUGUCAUCACUGCCAUCGCCAUCUAUUAUACGACGGCCCUAAAUCUUUCGGUGGAAGUUUUGAAAAAGAUUGAUGCUCUUCGACGUGCCUAUCUUUGGGCUGGUUGUGACAAGGUCACGGGAGGGAAAUAUAAGGUCAAGUGGGAGCAAGUUUGCAAGUCCAAGCUGCAUGGCGGUCUUGGGAUACUAAAUCAUGAAAAGUUUGCAUCUGCACUUCGUCUCCGUUGGCUGUGGCUCAACUAG